AUACGGAGGGUGCAAGCGUUAAUCGGAAUUACUGGGCGUCAAGCGUACGUAGGCGGUUAUUUAAGUCAGAUGUGAAAGCCCCGGGCUUAACUUGGGAACUGCAUUUGAAACUGGGUAACUAGAGUUUAGUAGAGGGGAGUGGAAUUUCAGGUGUAGCGGUGAAAUGCGUAGAGAUCUGAAGGAACACCAGUGGCGAAGGCGACUCCCUGGACUAAAACUGACGCUGAGGUACGAAAGCGUGGGUAGCAAACAGGAUUAGAAACCCUAGUAGUCC
rnacentral:rRNA from 1 species